GUGCAGCAGUCGCGAAUAUUUGGCAAUGGGGGAAACCCUGACCAUGCGACGCCGCGUGGGGGACGAAGGCCUUCGGGUUGUAAACCCCUGUGUUAUGGGAAGAAUCCCCUCUUGGUGAACAACUAGGAGGGUUGACGGUACCAUAGUAGAAAGCCCCGGCUAACUACGUGCCAGCAGCUGCGGUAAGACGUAGGGGGCGAGCGUUGUCCGGAUUUAUUGGGCGUAAAGGGCGUCUAGGCGGCUGUGUCAGUCCGAUGUGAAAUCGCUGGGCUCAACCGAGCAACUGCAUCGGAUACUGCACAGCUUGAGUACGGGAGAGGGAAGUGGAAUGAGCAGUGUAGCGGUGAAAUGCUUAGAUAUUGCUCAGAACACCGGUGGCGAAGGCGGCUUCCUGGCCCGAUACUGACGCUGAAGCGCGAAAGCUAGGGGAGCGAACGGGAUUAGAUACCCGUGUAGU
rnacentral:rRNA from 1 species